UUCCUGACCAUGAUGUGAGGCAUAGUUGUUCCGUUUUCCCUGGGUUCUUGUGAAGACCUAUCCCACAGUUAAGAUUACUGUUCUCCGAUUUCUUCAAUAUAUUCUUAAGCUCUUCUCCCAUUUACAUGAGUUGGCACAUCUGUUCCAUGAAGAAAAGUAGCCCAAAUGAAUCAUAGUUUUGCUUUCUUAACUUUUCUAGAAAGUUGCCAUCAACUUUGACCAAGGAGACCCAAACAGUCAAGUGUGAGAAGAGACAUCUUGGAAGUGAGCUUCAUAUUUCAGUUUCCAACAGCUUAAGCCACACAUGGAGGGGAGGUCCUAAUGUGAUUUAUAGAGGCACAGUUGGGUAGAGUGUUGUUCUGCUUUAGAGGUGUCAGUGAAUCACGGUCCAGGGAUAGUGCUGGGAACCCUGAACAGCAAUCUUUGAAGUCUUACCCAUGGAGCAGAUGUGCUACCUAGGACACUUUCCCAAUUGAGACUCUAGAUGUGCUGUGACACGGGACUUACCAGCACUGUUUAAGUCUGGAUGUUGAUCAAAACCCAAUUUGAUCCUCUGAACCUGAGACAAAAGUGAAAAUUUUCGGCAAAACAGAGGGUUCUGAGCAAACGGAUAGUUGGUCAACUCCAGAACUUGCAGAAGAUAGAGAGUCACCAGUUAAGCAAAAAUAGGUAAUUUGUUGACUCACAAGGUUAAACCAUGGAGUGGGAAGCUCUAAAACUGAGUUUGAAAAGACCCAGGAAGAUUAUGCAGUUAAGAGAUCGCCUGCCUUAAGC
ensembl:lncRNA